ensembl:lncRNA
AGGGGAAGGUGUAUGUCUGUAGGUGUCUGUAGGGGAGGUGUCUGUCCGUAGGUGUCUGUCUGUAGGUGUCUGUAGGGGAAGGUGUCUGUCUGUAGGUGUCUGUCUAGGUGUCUGUCUGUAGGUGUCUGUCUGUAGGUGUCUGUGGGGGAAGGUGUCUGUCUGUAGGUGUCUGUCUAGGUGUCUGUCUGUAGGUGUCUGUCUGUAGGUGUCUGUGGGGGAAGGUGUCUGUCUGUAGGUGUCUGUCUGUAGGUGUCUGUAGGGGAAGGUGUAUGCCUGUAGGUGUCUGUCUGUAGGUGUCUGUCUGUAGGUGUCUGUAGGGGAAGGUGUUUGUCUGUAGGUGUCUGUCUAGGUGUCUGUCUGUAGGUGUCUGCCUGUAGGUGUCUGUCUGUAGGUG